rnacentral:tRNA from 1 species
CUCUAAUAGUUUAUAAAAACGUUGGUCUUGUAAACCAAAGAGUGAAGGCCUAUAACCUUCUUAGAGUUC